ACUUGCUUCGGCAGUACAUAUACUAAAAUUGGAACGAUACAGAGAAGAUUAGCAUGGCCCCUGCGCAAGGAUGACACGCAAAAUCGUGAAGCGUUCCACAUUUUUUGCUUCCGACGUUCCGAUUAGUAUAAUUACCGAUAUAAUUGUGUGUAUCGUAUAUCGUACAAAAAAUGUGCAAGAAGUAGCGAUUCCGGAAAUAAUUUAAUUAAUGCGCUGGAUAUUUUGUUCCAUAUUAAUAUAAUAAAAAAAAAAAUUUAUUGCAGAUAAUUUUUAUUUUAUUAAAGAAAAUUUAUAUUUUAUUUGCAUAUAAAUAUAUAAGUUGCCGGCAUAAGUUGCCGUAUUUCAUAAUUAAUGGAUUGCCUCUGAUCUACAAUUAUGGAUGUAUAGUACACCAGAUAGCACGGAUGCAUAGAUCAAAGAUUUUCAGUUGAAAAGUAGAUUUGACUAUGUAAGUUCAUCAGAUCUACAAUAAAUGCAGAGGCGCUGCCCAACGAGAGUCUAAACGUCUUUUGAAUUCCGAGAAUCUCUCGUUAAUAAAAAGAAUUCUUCUGAUUAUCAAAGAGAAGUCUUCCCUCUGUUAUUCCGAAUCAAGUGUGACGUUUAAAAUAAUAUUUACAGAAAAAUGCCGCCGAAGAAAUCAAAGGAAAGUAUAAUUUUUCUUGUGAAUAUCGGUGUUAUUCGUCACGGUACUCAGAGCAAUUCACAAUUGUUAGAUAAAGCGAAAUUUAUUCUUAAACAUAUUAUUCAAAAGAAGAUAUUUCUGCGUCCAAAGGAUGAAAUAGGAGUGAUAUUAAUGGGAUCGGAUAAUAGUAAAAAUGACAGUAUCAUAGAAUUAGACAAUGUACAAGAAUUGUGUCGUAUACAAGUUGGAAAUUGGGAUUUGAUAGAAAGCAUCGAAAAAUUACAAACCACAAAUCAGAAUUGUUCUUGGAUGGAGGCAAUUUAUGCUGCAAUUGAAUAUAUCAAUCAUGAAUGCCUAGAUAAAUCUGAAAGAAAAAUAAUUCUGCUGUCUGAUUUCAAUGAGGAAGAGGAUAUUGUAAGUCAAUUCCAAAUGGACGAUAUUGUAAAAACAUUAAGUGAAGAGGAAAUUUCACUUAUGGCAAUCGGAGAAAGAGCAUUGGAUAAUACAGAUGAAGAUUCUCUAACAGCUAGUGAAACAUUACUUAUGAGUGUUUUGCAAAAGAUUGGUGGUCAAUAUCUCACUUUUGAACAUGCUAUGUCAGAUGUACGCUUUUAUAAACAACCAUCAACUAAACCGAACCCAUGGUCCUGUUUAAUGGAAUUGGGCGAUUUUUACAUACCUAUUGUUGGAAUUUCCAAAACGCCAACAGAAGUAAAGUUACCAAAAAUGAUACUGAUGGGUAAGACGAGUACACCUGAUAUGCCAGAUCAGGAAGUACCAAUUAAGAAUGUUGCACAAUGGACGGAUAACAAUAGGACUGUUCACACAAAAGAAGAUAUUAUCCGUGGUUAUGUAUAUGGUGGCAAACCUAUUCCGGUUUCGGAUGAAAAUAAGAAGGCAAUGACUCCUAAAACUAACGAAAAAUGUUAUAAGAUACAUGGUUUCACUGCAAGAGAAAACAUUCCUAUGGAAUACUGGUUGUCGGAUGGCACGUAUGUUAUUGUACCAGCCAGUGAAUCGGUAAGUGCACCUUUUUAUAGUCUGGUGCAAGCCAUGGUUGACAAGAAUGUAGUCGCUAUAGUAGAGAUGGUUCGCAGAGCAAACACUGAAACUAACAUGGUCGCAUUAUUUCCGAGUGUUGAUGUACCGAAUGAACCUUGGUGUCUUAUUGAGAUUGGCUUACCAUUUGAACGAGAUUACGGUGCAAUAGCGCAGAGACCUUUGAAAUUCGUGAUGAAGCAAUUGUCGAAAGAGCAAAACGAUGCUAUCGACGACUUGUUGACAUCUUUAGAAUUGCCCGAUGCUACUGACGAUGACGCAAUUGAUGUUAGCGAAAAAUAUCUACCGGGAUAUAUGCCGGACCCUGGAGCGCAACAUAUGUGGGAUAUGUUAUCAGCUCGCGCGCUUAAGCCGGACAAACCGUUGCCACCUAUAGCCGACGAUGUGAAAAAUCUUUUAGAGCCACCCGAGUUCGUGCGAGAAAAAUGCAAACCGGUUACAGAAAGGAUAAAAAAUUUGUUUUCCUUAGAGAAGAAGCAACCUCUUAAUAUUAGGAAACGUAAAAGGUUGGAGGAGAAAGAUAAUGAACAAUCUAAUAAAGAUGACUUAUCCAUGAUGCCAUCAGUCAAAAUAGAUGAAAAAGAUAUUACAAAAGAUAAUAAUGAUGAAAAUAUGGCUUCUUUAUCUAAUACAUGCGAUUUUGAUUUUGAUGCAAUUGGUGAUAUGUAGAAAACUACUGGCAGUAAUCAUCUUGAUCUUCACAUUGUGACUUUAUACGUUUUGAAUUAUGCAAAUAGUAGUGUUUAAUUUUCGGUAUCUUCUCGAAAGUGCCAAGAAUAACAAUGACGCUAUCGCCGAAUAAGGAAAAGAUGAAGCCGCCUGCCCACAUAACGCCUACCUUUUUCCCAUCCUUGAUUUACCGAAAAUUCAUUGACAUC